rnacentral:rRNA from 1 species
GCCUAGCCGUAAACAANNNNNNCUAAUAAACGCCAGGGAACUACGAGCUAUGCUUAAAACCCAAAGGACUUGACGGUGUCCCAUACCAACUAGAGGAGCCUGUUCUAUAAUCGAUGACCCCGCUAUACCCAACCAUCCCUUGCUUUAUCAGCCUGUAUACCUCCGUCAUAAGCCUACCAUGUGAACGUCAACAGUGGGCCCAAUGGUUUAUACAACCAAAAUGCCAGGUCAAGGUGCAGCUCACGGAAUGGUAAGUAAUGGGCUACAAUUUCUAAUCUAGAACAAACGGAAAGCUAUGUGAAACCACAGCCUAAAGGUGGAUUUAGUAGUAAAAAGAAAAUAGAGUGUUCUUUUUAACCCGGCCCUGGGACACGUACACACCGCCCGUCACCCUCUUCAAUAGCUCUCAUUUUAUGUAUAUUACACUAUAUCUGCGUUUUAGAAGAGGCAAGUCGUAACAUGGUAAGUGUACUGGAAAGUGCACUUGGUUAACAACAUGUACGUUAA